GCGGAUAUAGAUUAAUGGUAAAUUUUCUGUCUUCCACACAGACUAUAUGGGUUCGAUUCCCAUUAUCCGCU
rfam:Ostreococcus tauri mitochondrion, complete genome.